AGAAACUGAGCGCGGAGGAUGGACUGAACUAUAUGUGUAAACAAGCCAGUGAGAUUUGCAGAAGAUACGCAUUCGACCAGAGGGAAGGAUUACACAAAUGAAGCUGAAUUUCAAUGAACAAUAAUUUAAAUAUCUUAUUUAAUAAAAUAUUUUGAUGCUUUAAUUACUGGAAGUGGACCGUAAUGCCAAUGGAAAUAUUGUAAAUUAUUUAAAGGAAUUUAUUGUGUAAUGGAAAGAAUUAAUAAAAAAUUGUAUUUAAAAAAGGCUGAUGUACAAUUGGACCUGAUUUUUCGGUGCCGGCCUGUUCUGACAAGAAUUUCGCGAUCUAAUCAAUUAUUCUAAUUCGCCAACCAAAACAUUUACAUAAUUCAAUAAUAUUGUAACUGUAUAUACAUGACUCAAAAUAAAAAAGCUGCGAAUUGAU